rfam:Ixodes scapularis strain Wikel colony gcontig_1108379082534, whole genome shotgun sequence.
CCCGGUGUGGUCUAGUGGCUAGGAUACCUGGCUCUCACCCAGGAGGCCCGGGUACGAUUCCCGGCGUCGGAA